rnacentral:rRNA from 1 species
UACGUAGGGGGCAAGCGUUGUCCGGAUUUAUUGGGCGUAAAGAGCGUGUAGGCGGCCUGAAAGGUCAGCUGUGAAAACUCGAGGCUCAACCUCGAGACGUCGGUUGAAACCAUCUGGCUAGAGUCCGGAAGAGGAGAGUGGAAUUCCCGGUGUAGCGGUGAAAUGCGCAGAUAUCGUAAGGAAGACCAGUGGCGAAGGCGAAUCUCUGGACAGUUACUGACACUGAGGCACGAAGGCCAGGGGAGCAAACGGG